UACGUAAGGACCGAGCGUUGUCCGGAAUCAUUGGGCGUAAAGGGUACGUAGGCGGUUAUCUAAGUUAGAAGUCAAAGGCUAUAGCUCAACUAUAGUAAGCUUUUAAAACUGGAUAACUUGAGAGAUGGAAGGGAAAGUGGAAUUCCUAGUGUAGCGGUGAAAUGCGCAGAUAUUAGGAGGAAUACCGGUGGCGAAGGCGACUUUCUGGCCAUUAUCUGACGCUGAGGUACGAAAGCGUGGGUAGCAAACAGGAUUAGAUACCCUGGUAGUCAAGGGCG
rnacentral:rRNA from 1 species